rnacentral:rRNA from 1 species
UACGUAGGGGGCAAGCGUUGUCCGGAUUUAUUGGGCGUAAAGAGCGUGUAGGCGGCCAGACAGGUCCGUUGUGAAAACCUCGAGGCUCAACCUCGAGACGCCGAUGGAAACCGUCUGGCUAGAGUCCGGAAGAGGAGAGUGGAAUUCCCGGUGUAGCGGUGAAAUGCGCAGAUAUCGGGAAGAACACCCGUGGCUAAGGCGGCUCUCUAGUACGGUACUGACGCUGAGACGCGAAAGCGUGGGGAGCGAACAGG